rnacentral:lncRNA from 1 species
GAUCUGGGAACGGGCGGCCAAGGGAGCGGCGUCGGCGUCCUCCAGCGGCAGGCAGCGGGAGAACGGCGAAAUCGACCAGCGACGGGUGGAAAGGAGUCGCCGCCGCAGCCGCCGGAGGUCGGAGCCAAGGGGAGGUGGGCGGACAACAACGAGCGACGCCUCGAGGUGUGGGAUACUGUAGUUGAGGCACGGGUUGAUGGCAUGUUGAUGAGCCAAUCCUGCUGCUCCAAUUGA